UCCGUAGGCGGGUUUAUAAGUCAGUGGUGAAAGUUUGCGGCUCAACCGUAAAAUUGCCAUUGAUACUGUAGACCUUGAAUUAGUGUGAAGUGGUUAGAAUGUGUAGUGUGGCGGUGAAAUGCAUAGAUAUUACACAGAAUACCAAUUGCGAAGGCAGAUCACUAACACUAUAUUGACGCUGAGGGACGAAAGCGUGGGGAGCGAACAGGAUUAGAUACCCUGGUAGUCC
rnacentral:rRNA from 1 species